rnacentral:rRNA from 1 species
UUCCGGUUGAUCCUGCCGGAGGCCAUUGCUAUCGGAGUCCGAUUUAGCCAUGCUAGUUGUGCGGGUUUAGACCCGCAGCGGAAAGCUCAGUAACACGUGGCCAAACUACCCUGUGGAUGGGAACAAUCUCGGGAAACUGAGGCUAAUUCCCAAUAACGCUCCACCCCUGGAACGGGCGGAGCUGGAAACGCUACGGCGCCACAGGAUGUGGCUGCGGUCGAUUAGGUAGACGGUGGGGUAACGGCCCACCGUGCCAAUAAUCGGUACGGGUUGUGAGAGCAAGAGCCCGGAGACGGAAUCUGAGACAAGAUUCCGGGCCCUACGGGGCGCAGCAGGCGCGAAACCUUUACACUGUACGCAAGUGCGAUAAGGGGACUCCGAGUGUGAAGGCAUAGAGCCUUCACUUUUGUACACCGUAAGGUGGUGUACGAAUAAGGGCUGGGCAAGACCGGUGCCAGCCGCCGCGGUAAUACCGGCAGCCCGAGUGAUGGCCGAUAUUAUUGGGCCUAAAGCGUCCGUAGCUGGCCGGACAAGUCCGUUGGGAAAUCUGUUCGCUUAACGAGCAGGCGUCCAGCGGAAACUGUUCGGCUUGGGACCGGAAGACCUGAGGGGUACGUCCGGGGUAGGAGUGAAAUCCUGUAAUCCUGGACGGACCACCGGUGGCGAAAGCGCCUCAGGAGGACGGAUCCGACAGUGAGGGACGAAAGCUAGGGUCUCGAACCGGAUUAGAUACCCGGGUAGUCCUAGCUGUAAACGAUGCCCGCUAGGUGUGGCGCAGGCUACGAGCCUGCGCUGUGCCGUAGGGAAGCCGAGAAGCGGGCCGCCUGGGAAGUACGUCUGCAAGGAUGAAACUUAAAGGAAUUGGCGGGGGAGCACUACAACCGGAGGAGCCUGCGGUUUAAUUGGAUUCAACGCCGG